rnacentral:tRNA from 2 species
GCCCUUGUAGCUCAGUUGGCAGAGCACACCCUUGGUAAGGGUGAGGUCACGGAUUCGAGUUCCGUCAAGGGCUCCA